UGGAAGUAAAAGUCGUAACAAGGUUUCCGUAGGUGAACCUGCGGAAGGAUCAUUACCGAGUUUUCGGGCUUCGGCUCGACUCUCCCACCCUUUGUGAACGUACCUCUGUUGCUUUGGCGGCUCCGGCCGCCAAAGGACCUUCAAACUCCAGUCAGUAAACGCAGACGUCUGAUAAACAAGUUAAUAAACUAAAACUUUCAACAACGGAUCUCUUGGUUCUGGCAUCGAUGAAGAACGCAGCGAAAUGCGAUAAGUAAUGUGAAUUGCAGAAUUCAGUGAAUCAUCGAAUCUUUGAACGCACAUUGCGCCCCUUGGUAUUCCGGGGGGCAUGCCUGUUCGAGCGUCAUUACAACCCUCAAGCUCUGCUUGGAAUUGGGCACCGUCCUCAUUGCGGACGCGCCUCAAAGACCUCGGCGGUGGCUGUUCAGCCCUCAAGCGUAGUAGAAUACACCUCGCUUUGGAGCGGUUGGCGUCGCCCGCCGGACGAACCUUCUGAACUUUUCUCAAGGUUGACCUCGGAUCAGGUAGGGAUACCCGCUGAACUUAAGCAUAUCAAUAAGCGGAGGAA
rnacentral:rRNA from 1 species